UGCCAGACUCCUACGGGAGGCAGCAGUGGGGGAUAUUGCACAAUGGGGGGAACCCUGAUGCAGCGACGCCGCGUGGGUGAAGGAGCGUUUCGGCGCGUAAAGCCCUAUCGGCAGGGAAGAAGGAGGACGGUACCUGACUAAGAAGCCCCGGCUAACUACGUGCCAGCAGCCGCGGUAAUACGUAGGGGGCAAGCGUUAUCCGGAUUUACUGGGUGUAAAGGGGGCGCAGACGGCAGCGCAAGCCAGGAGUGAAAGCCCGGGGCCCAACCCCGGGACUGCUCUUGGAACUGCGCGGCUGGAGUGCAGGAGGGGCAGGCGGAAUUCCUGGUGUAGGGGUAAAAUCCGUAGAGAUCAAGAGGAAUACUCAUUGCGAAGGCGACCUGCUAGAACAUAACUGACGCUGAUGCGCGAAAGCGUGGGGAGCAAACAGGAUUAGAUACCCGCGUA
rnacentral:rRNA from 1 species